rnacentral:lncRNA from 1 species
AGGACAGGAAAUAGAGGAAACCACAUAACUGAGCUCAAGUCCAAGACAGCUCAAUAAUAUCACACACAGAGUUCUCCCAUCUAUCCCAAGGAGAGAAUGCCAAUUUGUGAGGGUAUCUUCUCUUGGACCUAGAAUGAGAGAAUAAGGAACAGACUAAUCCAGUGGAAAAACUAUAUUCGACCCAAGGAUCUGUAUCCACACAGUUUGACAAUAAUUUACUUCUUUCUGGAAGCGAUGAGCACAGUGUAAUUCCUGAGAAAUUUUAAUAAUGAUAUUUUAAUUAUAAUUAAGUGAAACCUAGCAAAGUUGGCUGUAUCUGGAGGAACUCCACUGUGGGAAACAGAUUCUUAAGCCAAACUCAACGUGUGACUUCCAUUAGAUGGCUGAAGAUGGCUGUUUCGCUGCAUCAAUGUGUGACUUUCAAUAGAUGAUCGAAGAUGGCUGUUUGGCACUGUGUCUGAAUUAAGCCAGAAGGAAGGAGGAAGAAGAUGAAGAAAAGGCAUGCCUCUACCCCUUAGGACCACGUCUCUGAAGCUGUAUACAACAUUUCUGCUCUCAUAUAAUUGGGCAGAACUUAGUCAUAGAGCUACAUGUAGUUGCAAGGGAAGCUAUAUGCACUAAUGUGCUUAGUUAAACAUUGGGAUUCUCUUACUAAGGUACAUAAGGAGAACAUAUAUUUGGAGAGGCAACUAUCCAUCUCUGCCACAAGAUCUGAAACAAUUAUUGUGAGACUAUAAACAUAGAAAAAAGCUCCAGAGAUCAGGGGGAAGUCAGAAAUUAUUUGGGAUUCCAGUGAAUGGAAUGUUGACCAUAAAUGAGAAAUGAUGCUUGGGAUAAUUCCUAGCGAGCAUUGGCUUUUAGAGUUGGGAUUGAAGUCAACCAGCUAUAAAGAGCAAGACUGGGUGGGGUACUUUGAAAUGUCAUAUCAUUGUGUAUGGCUUUUGUGGUAGUUACUGCUUCUUUUUAGAAUAAUUCUCAUAACUAGGUAGAAAGCUCACCUUUGAAACUUCUGCAUGCCUAAUAAAAUGCUUCACUCACACCCAGUUGUUUUACUCAAGCGAGUAGUUUUAUGGUAACUGCAUUUGGGGUAACAGUCUUACAGAAGAGUUAACACAAUGGGCAGAUUCCAGGUGUGCUGUCAUUUGGAGGAGGCAAAUCCAUACAGACAAGAAGUAGAUUAGUGGUUGCCUAGAGCUGGAGGAGGGUAGGGAUAAGGAAUGGAUUACUACUGGGACUGGGUUUCUUUUUGGGGUGAUGAAAAUUUUCUAAAAUUGAUUGUGGUGAUGGUUGCCUAACUCUGUGAAUAGCAAUGAAUUGUGCUAUUGUACACUUUAGGUAAAUGGUAUGGUAUAUGAGUUAUAUCCCCAAUAAAGCUGUUAAAAAAGAAUGAGAAAGACCGAGUGACUUGCCAAGG